rnacentral:rRNA from 1 species
AUUGAACGCUGGCGGCAGGCCUAACACAUGCAAGUCGAGCGAGCGGCGGACGGGUGAGUAAUGUCUGGGAAACUGCCUGAUGGAGGGGGAUAACUACUGGAAACGGUGGCUAAUACCGCAUACCAUCAGAUGUGCCGAGAUGGGAUUAACUAGUAGGUGGGGUAACGGCUAACCUAGGCGACGAACCCUAGCUGGUCUGCGAGGAUGACCAGCCACACUGGAACUGAGACACGGUCCAGACUCCGACGGUAGGCAGCAGUGGGGAAUAUUGGACAAUGGGCGCAAGCCUGAUGCAGCCAUCCCGCGUGUAUGAUGAAGGCCGUCGGGUUGUAAAGUACUUUCAGCGGGGAGGCGUUACCCGCAGAAGAAGCACCGGCUAACUCCGUGCCAGCAGCCGCGGUAAUAC